UCCUGGUGGCGAGUGGCGAACGGGUGAGUAAUAUAUCGGAACGUGCCCAGUCGUGGGGGAUAACGCAGCGAAAGCUGUGCUAAUACCGCAUACGAUCUACGGAUGAAAGCGGGGGAUCGCAAGACCUCGCGCGAUUGGAGCGGCUGAUAUCAGAUUAGCUAGUUGGUGGGGUAAAGGCCUACCAAGGCGACGAUCUGUAGCUGGUCUGAGAGGACGACCAGCCACACUGGAACUGAGACACGGUCCAGACUCCUACGGGAGGCAGCAGUGGGGAAUUUUGGACAAUGGGCGCGAGCCUGAUCCCCCCAUGCCGCGUGCAGGAUGAAGGCCUUCG
rnacentral:rRNA from 1 species